AGAGUUUGAUCCUGGCUCAGGAUGAACGCUAGCGGCAGGCUUAACACAUGCAAGUCGAGGGGCAGCGCGUGGCGGCAACGUCAUGGCGGCGACCGGCGGAAGGGUGCGUAACGCGUGAGCGACAUGCCCGUUGCCCGGGGACAACCGGUGGAAACGCCGACUAAUCCCCGAUGGGAUACGAUGCUGCAUGGCAUUGUAUUGAAAGUUACGGCGGCGACGGAUUGGCUCGCGUCCGAUUAGCUGGUUGGCGGGGUAACGGCCCACCAAGGCUACGAUCGGUAGGGGUUCUGAGAGGAAGGUCCCCCACAAUGGAACUGAGACACGGUCCAUACUCCUACGGGAGGCAGCAGUGAGGAAUAUUGGUCAAUGGGCGGAAGCCUGAACCAGCCAUGCCGCGUGCGGGAAGGAGGCCCUAUGGGCUGUGAACCGCUUUUGCCUGGGGGCAAUAAGGGCGCCGUGCGCGCCCGAUGAGAGUACCAGGCGAAUAAGCAUCGGCUAACUCCGUGCCAGCAGCCGCGGUAAUACGGGGGAUGCGAGCGUUAUCCGGAUUCAUUGGGUUUAAAGGGUGCGUAGGCUGUGCGUCAAGUCGGGGGUGAAAUUCCGGUGCUCAACACCGGGGCUGCCCUUGAUACUGUCGCGCUGGAGUGCGGAUGCCGCCGGAGGAAUGAGUGGUGUAGCGGUGAAAUGCUUAGAUAUCACUCAGAACACCGAUUGCGAAGGCAUCUGGCGAAUCCGUAACUGACGCUGAGGCACGAAAGCGUGGGGAUAGAACAGGAUUAGAUACCCUGGUAUUCCACGCCGUAAACGAUGAUGGCUAACCGCCGGCGGCAUACAGUCGGUGGCCAAGCGAAAGCGAUAAGCCAUCCACCUGGGGAGUACGUCGGCAACGAUGAAACUCAAAGGAAUUGACGGGGGCCCGCACAAGCGGAGGAACAUGUG
rnacentral:rRNA from 1 species